AUGACCUUCGAUCUGAAUCCUUUAGUUUUCUAAUGUUUUUUGUAGCUUAUCAUAUUAACAGCAAUGGCUUUAAGCAAUAUAGUACCCCAUAUUUACUUUAAAGUGUAAUGUAUGUGGGUAGACUCAUGUUUUCCACAAUAGAGGGUAGAUUGCGCACCAUGUCUGUCGAUCGAUUAAAUGCAAUACCGAA